CACAGGACCAGAAGGCGGUGACCCCCCUGGACCCAGCUUUCACUAUCUUGUGUGUGUCUAUUAUUUCUCAACCUGCCGAUCUGCCUGGGAACAAAGAGAAAGCCCCGUUGCAUUGCGGGCUGCUGGCCAGAUCCCGCAAUACCCAACAUAUUUCUACAGAGCACAAGGGGUGCACAGGCUCCAGUUUCAGGUGUUUAGGUUCAUGAGAUGUGGAGCCUGCUGAUAUGGAGGCCCAACCCUGGCCUGGGUUACGCAAGCCUGCCUAUUGCCCAAGCUGGGAACAGCCAACAGAGAUGAGGGCUGGGGUGUGGGACAGCCAGGGAGCAGCUCUACUUAGCCAAAUUGAAAUGCUGAGAUGCCAGAAGAAGCUUCCCCCAUCACUCUCUCUAGGAAGAAAUAUUUGAAUCUUGACUGGAAAGAGUACAGAUAUCAGAAAGGAAGAACAAGAGGAGGCUAAUGUGGUUUCACUCCAGAAAAUGCCUCCACAGCUGCAGGGAAGUUCUUGGAAGCCUGUAAAACUGUGUUUGGAAAUAGGCAGAGCUGCCAAAUAAUGCUGGUAAAUUUCUCAUAGCAGAGUAAGAGAGAGCUUCGGCUUUAUAGCAUUUUAGAAGAUUGCAUAAAUUCAUAAGUUAAAUAUAUGACACUCAUGUUCAGGAAGGACAGAACUUUACCCCACAGACUUUUGAAAUGAGCCAUGGAACAAGGUCCUGUGAGCCUUGACCUGGUCCUGACGUUGGAAAAAUCAGGCUGUGUUGGCAAGCCCUGCAGAAGCAAUGAUGGAGAAGCAUUAUUGAAGAAAUACGUAUUCAACAGAGAAUUGUUGGGCCAUCCUAAAAUUUACUUUCAGUAAAAAUCAUUCAGGAGGAACAAGAAAGGGUGGCAAUAUUGGCUGUUCUCAAAACAAACCAAAGAGCAAAGUGGGCUGGGCCUGGUGGCUGGCACCUGUAGUCCCAGCUUCUUGGGAGGCCAAGGCAGGAGGAUUGCUGGAGUACAGGAGUUCAAGGCUGCAGUGAGCUAUGAUCAUGCCACUACACGCCAGCCUGAGCAACAGAGUGAGGUCCUAUCUCGAAAGAAAGAAGAAAGGAAGGAAGGAAGGAAGGAGAAAGAAAGAAAGAAAGAAUAAAGAAAGAAAGAAAGAAGGAAAGAAAGAAAAAGGAAGGAAGGAAGGAAGAAAGAAAGAGAAAGAAGAAGGAAGGAAGAAAAGAAGGAAGGAAGGAAAGGAAAGAAAGAAAGAAAGAAAAGAAAGAAAGAAAGGCACCUUGAGGUCAGAUCCCUGCCAACAAAUUCCUAGAGUGGAAAGAAAUAAUGCUCCAACUCUGGUCAGAAGUUCCCAUAGAGAACAGUUUUCUAUGUUGCGUAAUAAAUUACCACAAACUUAGCAGCUUCAAGCAACGCACAUUUGUUAUCUCUGAAUUUCUGUGCAUCCAAAGUGUACACAUGACCUAGCUGGGUCCUCUUGUCUGAGGUCAUGUAAAGCUGCUGUCAGGGUGUCAGCAGGGCUGUGUUUUCAUCAGAGGCUUUAAGAAUCCGCUCCAGACUUGGGUUUUGACAGAAUUUAUCUCCUGGUGGUUGUGGGACAGAGGCCCCUAUUUCUCACUGGCUGUUGGCUAGAAACUAGACCCUACUCCUAGAGGCCAGCCACAGUUCUCAUCCUGUAAACCCCAUAGACAGUUCAAACAUAGUAGCCGUGUUCUUCAAAACUGGAGAGAAUCUCUCUCUCUAGUCUGCUGUAAUGGAACACAGUCACAGGAGUAAUCAUCUUAUAUUCGCUUGGCUACAGAUAAGUCACAGGUUCCUUCCACUCUCAAGGGGAGAGAAUUAAACAAAGGGCAUGACUCACUGGGGGUAACGUUAAGGUUGAAAACAUCAUGAGAUGAAGGACAUUUCAUUUACAAGAACCGUGGAAGAACCAGGGAAGCCAGAAGGCCAGGCAGGGCUGACCCCCAAGAGAGAAGCAGUUACAGUAGAAGACUGCAACUUCCAGGGAGCUGUACAGAGCAGAGAUGCGCACACGUUUAAAGCAGGACCCCUGAGCAUGAGGGGUGCAGUGGGGAUGCAGCUAACAGCUGACAGCAGAAGCAUCCCUGAUUGGCCUGACCACCAAGGAGGCACUGUGGGAAGAGAAGGACUGUCAAAGUUGCUUUAACUUUUUAUUGAGUAUAUCAUACACGAACAGAAAUGUGCACAUAUCGUAAGUACACACCUGAAUGAAUUUUCACAGACAGGACACAGCCAUGGAACCAGACCCAGAUCAAGAAGCAGAACCUGGACAGCACCCCAGAAGCUGCCUUUGUGCCCAUUUCCACUCUUGAUCCUUCCCCCCGAGGAGGCAACCACUAUCCUGACUCAGCACAACGUGGACUCGCUUUGCCUGUUUUCAUAUACAUGGAAUCAUAUAACAUAUACUCAUUUUUGUCCGACAAUAUUGUUUGUGACAUCAUCCAUGUCAUUGCAUCAUUCUAGAGCAUUUAUUUUCAUGCUAUGUCAUAUUUCAUUCUGGAAAUAUAUACUAAAUUGUUCAUUCUAUUGUUGAUGGGCAUUGGGGUAGUUUCUUAAUAGGAUUUGAGUUUGGUUGAGUUUGUUUGCUCUGUGGCAUACAAUAUCAUCAUUUUCUCUGUCUCAACACAAAAUCUUUAAUCAAUGAUGUGGGGCGUGAAAGGAUUUUGUAAAGUCAACGCAAAGAAGUGCCAAGUCCAGUGUCGGGGAUAGUGUGGCAUGGAACAGAAGCCACGUGAGAACCAGCCACAUCAGGUCGAUUUUAAUUUCUUGAGUUACUCAUUAGAUUUCAUUCAACAAAAUGCAUCAAGUUACCUAAUCAGGCUGACUGGAACCAGGCAAAUUUAGACAAAUGCCUCCAGUGGACAUCUUGUAUAAUUUUGCUUUUUUGCUUCCCUUCUUGAGAAAUUCCAUGUAGUCCAGAGCUGUUGAUUAUAAAAUCCCACUUAUACACCAAGAGAAUGGACAUGGGACCCAAAACAGACCAAUUAAAGUUUCAUUCUUAGGAAUUUUAAUUUUGUGUGUGUGACUUUCUUAGUUGUUUUGUUUGUUUAUUUGUUUAAUGAGACAGGAGGAUCUCACAAUGGUUUCGAGACUGG
rnacentral:lncRNA from 1 species